CCGGUUCGCGGCCUUUCCAGCAGGCUUUGUUGCCAUAGCAACGCAGGCACACCGUAGUGCUUGCUAUCACGGCAUUAUCGCCAGCGGUGCUGCCGUGAUGCGGUCUUUGCAAGGACCGCAACAUGAAGGUACGAUGCUUUUGUGUCGUGCUUCUUGUUUCUGGCACGUUGUGUCUUCACGCAGACAGAAGCUACCCUGGUAAUUCUGUUCCCGUAACGCUCAACGUCCAGAGCAGGUAAGCCAGGAGGCCGCCCUGUUGGGCGGCUUUCUUU
rnacentral:sRNA from 1 species